UGUUAAAAAAACUCAUCCAUUUGUGCAAUUAAAAACCGGCAUGACUGAUAGAAUAAUCAGAUAGUAACACGUAAUGUGUCACGUGUACCUCAUGCUAACAUAUAACUAUCAAUUUUUAACAAUAAAAAUGAAUAAAAUUUUUAGUA
rfam:Gossypium arboreum cultivar AKA8401 contig_7681_5, whole genome shotgun sequence.